GGCAGGGAUUGUGGCUCAGUGGUACAGCAUUUGCCUGGCAUGCGUGAGGCCCUGGGUUCAAUCCCCAGCACUGCCA